CCUGACCGUAACGGCUUGUUUGUGUUAGACCUUCUAGGUGACGCUUUUUUUGAAAGUUCUUAUUUAUGGACCGAUUCGACUCAAAUUCACACCAUAUAAUAUUUGAACAAAAAGAACGUCUUUGGCGAAAUUUGGACUGGAUAGAAAAUCGUGAGACUUAACAAGACUACAUGAAUGCGAGCACGUUCAUAGAGGAGUUUGUGUGGUCGUGAUUGACUCGUUUAUCGCGAUCAGAAGCUGUAAAGUCACGUUAUUCACGAACUUCGGAAUGGAGUGGGGAAAUGGCGCUCAGUUGAACAGCGCCAAAUAUAUUUUAAAGUAAAUUUA